AUUGAACGCUGGCGGCAUGCCUUACACAUGCAAGUCGAACGGUAACAGGUCUUCGGAUGCUGACGAGUGGCGAACGGGUGAGUAAUACAUCGGAACGUGCCCGAGAGUGGGGGAUAACGAGGCGAAAGCUUUGCUAAUACCGCAUACGAUCUCAGGAUGAAGGCAGGGGACCGCAAGGCCUUGCGCUCACGGAGCGGCCGAUGGCAGAGUAGGAAGUUGGUGGGAUAAAAGCUUACCAAGCCGACGAUCUGUAGCUGGUCUGAGAGGACGACCAGCCACACUGGGACUGAGACACGGCCCAGACUCCUACGGGAGGCAGCAGUGGGGAAUUUUGGACAAUGGGCGCAAGCCUGAUCCAGCCAUGCCGCGUGCAGGAUGAAGGCCUUCGGGUUGUAAACUGCUUUUGUACGGAACGAAAAGACUCUGGUUAAUACCUGGGGUCCAUGACGGUACCGUAAGAAUAAGCACCGGCUAACUACGUGCCAGCCGCCGCUGUAAAAC
rnacentral:rRNA from 1 species